rnacentral:rRNA from 1 species
ACAUCAAAUCGUACCCCAAACCGACACAGGUGGUCAGGUAGAGAAUACCAAGGCGCUUGAGAGAACUCGGGUGAAGGAACUAGGCAAAAUGGUGCCGUAACUUCGGGAGAAGGCACGCUGAUAUGUAGGUGAAGUCCCUCGCGGAUGGAGCUGAAAUCAGUCGAAGAUACCAGCUGGCUGCAACUGUUUAUUAAAAACACAGCACUGUGCAAACACGAAAGUGGACGUAUACGGUGUGACGCCUGCCCGGUGCCGGAAGGUUAAUUGAUGGGGUUAGCCGCAAGGCGAAGCUCUUGAUCGAAGCCCCGGUAAACGGCGGCCGUAACUAUAACGGUCCUAAGGUAGCGAAAUUCCUUGUCGGGUAAGUUCCGACCUGCACGAAUGGCGUAAUGAUGGCCAGGCUGUCUCCACCCGAGACUCAGUGAAAUUGAACUCGCUGUGAAGAUGCAGUGUACCCGCGGCAAGACGGAAAGACCCCGUGAACCUUUACUAUAGCUUGACACUGAACAUUGAGCCUUGAUGUGUAGGAUAGGUGGGAGGCUUAGAAGUGUGGACGCCAGUCUGCAUGGAGCCGACCUUGAAAUACCACCCUUUAAUGUUUGAUGUUCUAACGUUGACCCGUAAUCCGGGUUGCGGACAGUGUCUGGUGGGUAGUUUGACUGGGGCGGUCUCCUCCUAAAGAGUAACGGAGGAGCACGAAGGUUGGCUAAUCCUGGUCGGACAUCAGGAGGUUAGUGCAAUGGCAUAAGCCAGCUUGACUGCGAGCGUGACGGCGCGAGCAGGUGCGAAAGCAGGUCAUAGUGAUCCGGUGGUUCUGAAUGGAAGGGCCAUCGCUCAACGGAUAAAAGGUACUCCGGGGAUAACAGGCUGAUACCGCCCAAGAGUUCAUAUCGACGGCGGUGUUUGGCACCUCGAUGUCGGCUCAUCACAUCCUGGGGCUGAAGUAGGUCCCAAGGGUAUGGCUGUUCGCCAUUUAAAGUGGUACGCGAGCUGGGUUUAGAACGUCGUGAGACAGUUCGGUCCCUAUCUGCCGUGGGCGCUGGAGAACUGAGGGGGGCUGCUCCUAGUACGAGAGGACCGGAGUGGACGCAUCACUGGUGUUCGGGUUGUCAUGCCAAUGGCACUGCCCGGUAGCUAAAUGCGGAAGAGAUAAGUGCUGAAAGCAUCUAAGCACGAAACUUGCC